UCAACACGACUGCGAGCGCUGUAGCUCCCAUCGGCGGUCGGCGCUCCCGUCCCGUCGUCCUCCCCGCCGCCGUCCUUCCUCCGUCUCUCCAAGCUCGUUUUUGCUUCUUUGUCUGCACUCCCCAACCUCUGGUGCGCCGGAGUGAACUGGGACCAGCUGGAGAUAGGGUCGAGGGGGGGGGCGAUGGUGGCCGGCGAGCACCGGCGCCGGCAACCGGAGUGAUGGAGGUGGAGGAGGAGGAACAGGCGCUGUGGUGGAUAGCGCGGGCGCGACGGAGCGGGCUGGGGCAGGCGCCGCCGGUCGCUCGGGCUCGGCUCACAUACUUGCACGUGAUUGCUGUAACGUUGUGAAUAAACCAAAGGCAUAUGUCGUCUUCAGAACUUUGUUAUUGGUGAACAUAUUCUUACACCAUCUUCAGGCAUCGAGUCUCCAAUUAAGGAUUGUGCUAUAAGUGUGAAGUGAUAAUUUUACUGUUUUGAGCACUGAAGCUGGUUGGAUCGAAAAAUUGAGCCUUCAAUCUGGUAUUAGUCGUGCCAGGGGAAGUCGUCAGAUUAGCUUGUGAUGCUACAAAUGAUUCUCUAACUAUUAAGGUUUGAUGCUGCUGUUGCACUUUAGUUCAAUGACAGUUUAUUUCUCACAAGACUACAAUAUGUUCCAGCGCC